GUGUAAACAAAGUUCCUUAAAGUGCCUUCCUUAUUAAAGCCAAUUGAAAGUGAUUCAGUUAAUUAAUUUUCAUAGAAGCAUCUAUAAGACGUGUAUGAUUUGAUCAAUGAUGAAUAAUGAUCAGCAACAAUUAGCAGUUUUUUUUUAACUUUUACAAGUAGGCCAAUAGAAAAGCUACUCGUACAUGACAAUUAGAAUUUUUUAUCUCCCUAUCUUUUUUAAGGAUUUCUGUAGAAUCUUUGUCAUUCUGUUCCUCAUUUUAAACACUUUUGAAUUAAAUGUAAUUCAAAGAAUAAACUACCCAUUCAUGGUAACUCUUCAACACAAUCUUUCAACUUCCAUGCAGAUUCAGCAACACCACUGCAUGGAAUAAGAGACAGUAAGAUUUCAUUUGAAUGCUACGAGGAUGAACCUUUCAGAGUCGGGUACCACCAGAGAGGAACGACACAUUGCCUGUACCUUUUAGAAUAUGCAUGCAGAAGAAGCAACUAUAUCACAGUCAUCCGUGUGCAGAAUCAUCAACGAUUUUUCUGAGGCAAUAGCAAGAAGUAACAGACAGUUAAUGAACGAGAAAUUGAAACCACCCAGCGACAAUUUGAUGAUUGCUGCAUGUUUCCAAGAGUCUUAGGUGAUAUCGAUUGGGGCCAUGUCUACAUCAGGAGUCCUGGUGGGGAACAAGCCCUGUACUUAACAGGAAGAACAGGUCCUCUGUAAAUGUAUAGGUAUCCGUUGCUCCCCUCUUUGAUGAAUUCCUGCCAGCAUUCUGUUGUCAAUAAAAAAGGACGGUGUGUUACGGGUAUUAAGCAUUCCAUUGGAUUAUUUAUGCAUAAAAGUGGAUACUUGUGAUAAAAAAUGGUAGCUUAGUUGAUAGGAUGUUUUCAUGCAUUCCAGUUUAUUAUUAGUGAUCAAAUGACCAUCUUGCUUUUUAAAACCAAAAUUCACAAUAUUUUUCUUGUUUGAAAAAACGUUUGGGACUUCUGGGAAUUCCAGGAUAUAAAUGACACACAUGGUGGGCUAAUGUAUAAGCAGGGACGUGAGAGGUAUAAGCAACAUUUUUCUCAUGCUUAACUAAGUUUGGCAUGAGAUGGACUUGGUAAUUCUUAUGAUUCGUGUCUAUUGUAUACCCAUUUUUUUUUAAUCAACAAUCAAUGUUUGAAGCCUCAUGAUUUUAAUUUCAAAACCUCUUUGUUCAUUAAACGGUCAUUUUUCUUAGCGUAUGCAGCUCCAUAAUUUAUCAAAUUUAAAUUAUAUAAUAUCAUUUUUGCUGAAUAUCUUUUUUCUUUCCACCUAUUUCCAUAGGCACUAAGUUACAUUUUUGUAGUAAGCACUAUAUACAUUGCAAGCUAUUAUCAUUUGUUUAAUAUUACUAUUUUAUGAUAGAAUCAUUAUUUAAUUUCUUUCAGAAAUAUAUUUGACGUAUUACUUGUGAUAUUCAUGCUCUAGCUGUAGAGCUUAAUACCUUUCAUUAAACUUUUUUUUAUCCAUUAUAUAUCUAUUCUUAUUCAGAGUUUUUGAUGCAUUGUUAAGAAAACGUAAACAGUCAAUUCAAUCUUCGUAUCAUUAUGUAAAGAAUUUCAAUCUACUCUAAAAAAUAAUGUACGAAAUAAACUGCUCUGUCUACUACACAUGUACGGUUACACUUCGUAAUUCCGAAGGUUCGUAAUUCCGAAGGUUCUUUAUUCCGAAGGUUCGUAAUUCCGAAACACGCAAAUUGCCUAUACCUCGAUGUUCGUUAAUCCGAAAACGUAAAAGGGUUCGUUAAUCCGAACAUUUGUGGCGUUAUUCCGAAGGUUCGUUAUUCCGAAGGUUCGAUAAUCCGAAAACGAAAUAAGGUUCGAUGUUCCGAAGGUUCGUUAAUCCGAAAACGAAAUAAGGUUCGUUGUUCCGAAGGUUCGUUAAUCCGAAUACGAAAUAAGGUUCGCUGUUCCGAAGGUUCGUUAGUCCGAAAACGAAAUAUGGUUAGUUUAUCAUUUAGUUUUCGGACUAACGAACCUUCGGAAUUACGAACCUCAUUUCUUUUUCGGAUUAACGAACCUUCGGAAUUACGAACCUCACUUCGUUUUCGGACUAACGAACCUUCGGAAUUACGAAACUCAUUUCGUUUUCGGACUAACGAACCUUCGGAAUUACGAACCUUCGGUAAUACGAACCUUCGGAAUAACGAACCUUCGGAAUAUCCGAACCUUCGGAAUAACGAAGCUUCGGAAUUACGAAUGUAUGCGCACAUGUACAUAUAAGUUUUGAUUUUAAAGGUCAAGCCUUCUCCAAAAAAAAAAUAUAUUUGAAUAAAUAUAAAAAAAAAACUUGCAUAAUGCUGAAAAUUUCAUCAAAAUCGGUUGUAAAAUAGGAACGUUAUGACAUUUUUGGGUUUGGCUUAUUUUGCACAACACAGUUAUGUGCACAACUCAGUGACAUGCAAAUGAGACAGUCAAUGAUGUCGGUUGUAAAAUAGGAACGUUAUGACAUUUUUGGGUUUUAACAAUAUCAGACAUAGUGGUAGGAUGUUGUUAUUUAGGAACUGGAUACGGUCAAAUAUUUUGUUCAUCGGUGAUCUGGUAUCUAAGAAUACCUUUCUUACUGUAAAUGAGUUAAAAGAAAAGUUCGUCAAUCUUGAUGGACAAUAGUUGUCAGAAUAUGCAGUUUGUAUAAUGUCAAUACCAAAAAUAUGGAGAGAACAACUAAAAGAAAAUAACCUUGCUUUGUUUAGAAAAUUUAAAUAUUCAAUUUAGAAUAAUGAGUCCUGUAUGCCAUCUAUAGAUACAUUGCUUAAUUGUAACUCUAGAGUAAAACAAAUUUAUCAAGAGAUGUUGCAAUUAAAUGUUGAAAGAUCAAGGGCCGCAUUAUUUUGGAUGAAGAAAAUAUGAAUUCUUGGUUGUUUACAUGGACACUGAAACUCAAAAGUAUUCAAGAUAAUACCAUAGCCCAUUUUAAUUUCAAUCUUAUGUAUAAUUUAUUACCUACUCUCUGUAACUUAAAAAAUGGAAUUUAAGAAACACAGAUAUUUGUAGUGAGUGCACUAAGUUGAGUGAUUUAUUACAUUUGUUUUGGUUCUGUACAGAGGUUGAUAAGCUUCGGAAAUACGUCGAAGCACUCAUAAGAAAAUGUCUAAUUCAAAAUUUUCGUUUGUAGCCUCAGCAUAUUGUUUACGGUCUAAGAAAAUAAUAAGGAAAAUAAAUAAAUUUAAUGUUGAAUUAUGCAUUAUAAUCUAUUUACAAAUGUUACAAGAUAACAUUAGUUACAAUGAAAAAGAUGAAGUUUUAUGAUUUGAAAAUUAUGUUCAUAUAUGUUCUGGAAAAAUAUAUGAUAAUGAGAGAGGUAAACGAAAGGAAAAUUUGGAUAUGAAUAUGAGCAAAUGGAGUUUAAUACUGAAUAACUUGUAAAACUGUUGUUUGUGUACAUUAUAUGUGUGUAUAUUUUUAUUUAAAUAAAGAAGACCAGUACUGGUUAAAAAAAAGUCA